rnacentral:rRNA from 1 species
AUUGAACGCUGGCGGCAGGCCUAACACAUGCAAGUCGGGCGAGCGGCGGACGGGUGAGUAACGAAUGGGGAUCUGCCCGAUGGAGGGGGAAAACUACUGGAAACGGUAGCUAAUACCGCAUACUAUCAGAGGAACCCAUAGGGGAUUAGCUUGUUGGCGAGGUAACGGCUCACCAAGGCGACGAUCCCUAGCCGGGCUGAGAGGAUGAUCAGCCAAACUGGGACUGAGACACGGCCCAGACUCCUACGGGAGGCAGCAGUGGGGAAUAUUGGGCAAUGGGGGCAACCCGGAGGCAGCCAUGCCGGGUGAAUGAAGAAGGCCUUCGGGUUGUAAAGUACUUUCGGUAGCAAGGCGUUAACUACAGAAGAAGCACCGGCUAACUCCGUGCCAGCAGCCGCGGUAAUAC